ACCACCAGUGAUGAGUCAGAUACCGCCCCAGUCUGAUCACUGUGACUGAAAGGUACUCCUGAGCUGUG
rnacentral:snoRNA from 1 species